rnacentral:rRNA from 1 species
GGGUGUAGAAUAAGUGGGAGCUUCGGCGCCGUUGAAAUACCACUACCUUUAUUGUCUUUUUACUUAUUCAAUGAGGCGGANCUGGGAUUAACAGUCCCACCUUUUGGCUUCAAGGUCUUUUACAGGCCGAUCCGGGUUGA